rnacentral:tRNA from 1 species
AGUAAGGUAUGUCAAUAGGCAAUUGGGCUCAUGUCCCAAGAGUAUAGGUGAAAGGCCUGUCCUUACAU